rnacentral:rRNA from 1 species
UGGGGAAUCUUGCACAAUGGGCGCAAGCCUGAUGCAGCAACGCCGCGUGAACGAUGAAGGUCUUCGGAUCGUAAAGUUCUGUUGCUGGGGAAGAUAAUGACGGUACCCUGUGAGGAAGCCCCGGCUAACUACGUGCCAGCAGCCGCGGUAAUACGUAGGGGGCUAGCGUUAUCCGGAUUUACUGGGCGUAAAGGGUGCGUAGGUGGUCUUUCAAGUCGGUGGUUAAAGGCUACGGCUCAACCGUAGUUAGCCUCCGAAACUGGAAGACUUGAGUGCAGGAGAGGAAAGUGGAAUUCCCAGUGUAGCGGUGAAAUGCGUAGAUAUUGGGAGGAACACCAGUAGCGAGGGCGGCUUUCUGGACUGAAACUGACACUGAGGCACGAGAGCGUGGGUAGCAAACAGG